rnacentral:rRNA from 1 species
CGUGAGCGGCGGACGGGUGAGUAACGCGUGGGUAACGUUGCCUCAUACAGGGGAGUAACAGUUGGAAACGGCUGCUAAUACCGCAUAAGCGCACAGUACCGCAUGGUACGGUGUGAAAAACUCCGGUGGUAUGAGAUGGACCCGCGUCUGAUUAGGUAGUUGGUGGGGUAACGGCCUACCAAGCCGACGAUCAGUAGCCGACCUGAGAGGGUGACCGGCCACAUUGGGACUGAGACACGGCCCAA